AAUAUUUGUUAGCUGCAUCGGACACCAAACAUGUCUUAGCUAAUUGAAGACAUAUGGGUGAACCGAAGUCCUCCUUUAACUCUUAACUUACACAGCUCUUCCUCCUCACUUCUAAAGCUCUUUAAAUAAAGCCACUUGCCAAAUAAAUGAAACAAAUAUUGAAUAUAGAUAAAAACGUUAAAACAGCAGAAAGCUGUUUUAUUUGCUUUCACCUACUAACAACCUGGUAUGAGAGGACGUUAAAAAUAACAGCUUUCUAUUUUAUUUUUAGCAAGAAUUUUUUAUAAUAUGAGGUUUUGGAAAGUAAAAACAGUCUAAAUAAACAUUUUGUAGUUUUAUAUAUAGUGUGUGUCAUUUUCUCUUCCUGUCUCACAUGCUAUCUGUACAGUAGGCAACUGUUAGAGCACACGGUAUCAAUUUAGAGCUCAUUACGACACCACAUGCCAGAUGGACGCUGAUAUGUUUCAGUCAGUAUCUGUAUUUAUUUCAAGAUAAGCUCAAAGAAAUUUGCUUUGAUCUUGAACACACUGUAAUGCAGUGAUCAGUGCUAAUCUCUAAUGUUGACCUAACAACAAAUCUGCAAUGUGCUGAAAAUGCUGCAAGGUUUUCACUACAAGCUUAUCUGCUUUAAUCCUAAGACAUUCAGACAUACUGGGUGAUGGAUGGCAUGUUAAAGAAAUAUAAAAUAAAAGAAUACCAUUAAUAUGGUUCUAUUCUGCUCUGUUCUAUUCGUCUUCAGAAAAAUUCCUUCUUUAUGUAACACAUUUUGAUAUGCAAAUGAGUAUAAAGAUUCAACGAAUACACAAAUUAGUCUGUGAUGUCUUGUGGGAACUUUUUGAACAUGUAGCAGCUCCUUUUCCCAGAAAAGCACUCGUCACGCUGGCAAGAUCACACAAACAGGAGGCACGACGUAAACAAGUUUGUUUUUUUGCAGGAUAUCGGCAAAGAAAAGCAAAAGGCCACAUAAUGACAUCACUGUAUUAUCUUUUAGGGAUUAGAUAUACGAUACCUGCGACAGUAUAACCGAACCCUGACUGACACCUUCCCAGAACCUCCAGUUUUAAUAGCAGCUUGGUCUUUAUGAUGCUAUUUACUUAGAUCCAACUCCAUUCAACAAGUAAUGUCACUUCUGAUGGAUACUGGAAACUAAUUUCACGGGAUUCACAGCAACAGGAAAGCAAUCAAAACGUUUACAUUUUGCAAUUUGUAAACAGUUUUGCAAACUAUACUGCCUUUUAACCUGACGCCACCGCCACCGUGCUUCACUGUGCUCUCCAGAUUCAAGACAUAAAUUCGCAGUUAAGUCCAUUUCAGUUCCAGGCUGUAACGCUACAAAAUGUGGAAAGGACGACUCUGCUGGAGCAGGCGGACAGGUUACAUGUGCGGACCGGAACCGAGCGCUGCGGAACCGGGAGCCGAACCUGCCGAACCUGCCGGACCAGGUGCCUCUGGAGGUGCCGAGCAAGCACUGUUAGGGCCACCA